GGCGUAAAGCGCAUGCAGGUGGUGCGGUAAGUUGCCUGUGAAAUCUCCUGGCUCAACUGGGAGAGGCUGGGCAAGACUGCCGGACUAGAGUCCUGUAGAGGGGGGUAGAAUUUC
rnacentral:rRNA from 1 species